rnacentral:lncRNA from 1 species
GCAGAGCGUUGGUGUUGUACUGCUCUGUCGCACUCUCACGGCAGUUCCCGUCGUGUUCUGGAAGAAUGAAAGUGUAGGCACAUUGCCCAUGUUGAAUCCGGUUAUAUCUUCUCCCUCCGUUUUCUGGAUUUCGGCGCUGGUUGCUGCACCCUAUGUGAGUCAGAAUGGCAGCGAAGAAUGCAAAGGAAAGGAAAACUGUCAUUGUACUGCCAGCGCUUGCCUUCCGAGCCUCCUGCAAAGCUUGCUCUUCUCUUCUGACCUUUAAACUAGUUCUUUAUUUCAGGUCAGUUCUGAAAACAUAUGGCAUACAUACUGGAACAGUAAUGAAGUUAAGGCUACCAGAGUUCUUUAUGAGCCUUGUGACGACUGAGAUCAUAUGAUGGACAUCUGAAGAGAACAAGAGGAUUAGAGGCAGCUCUGAAAACAGCACCUUUGGAAACCAAUGUGUCUCUGCAAUGAGAAACCUUUGCUCAAGCACAUGCUUCAAUUUUCAGUGUCUGUAGAAAUCAAGAGACAGGAUCUCCUUGGGACUCUGCUUCUGGUCACUCGCUCACUUAGGAACUUGAUCUCUGGGACAACACAUGCAAAGGCUUAUGAUUCACUUAGAAAACAUAAAACUAUGUAUGUGCAUGUAUGGGACACAGACACAUAUAUAAUUACAUUUAUUAUUUAAAUUUAGUGUAUUAUAUAUUAUAUAUUUAUAUUAAAUAGAGAGAAUAUAAUACAUAUUUCUAAAUAUAUUUAAUUAUAUAUAUGUUUUCAUAUUCUUGGUUCUCAUAAAUGAACAUUAAGAAAACAAUCACUCCUAACCUCAGCUUUCUCAUUCACAAAAUAAGGUUCUUAAAUCGAAAUGGAUACCAAUGCAUUCCACUUUGUAGGCAGUAUGAUUCUUUUUUACCCCUCAGCUAAUAAUUACCUUUUAAUUAUCUGAGGAAUGUAAAACCAAUUUUUAUUUAAAAAUUAGUGCGAGUAUAUACAUGGAAAAAGUGUACUGUGAAUGAGUGUUUGAGUUGAGAUUUAGAAGGCUAUUUUACAACUGGGGAACAAAGUGCGAAUAAACACAUACAAAUUUUUAUUUCAAGGGAACUGACCAGGCAGGUGGGAUAAUUAUACAAAAUAGACGCAAAUUAACAAUGAAGGUUUUACAGUUAGAACUAUAUGACUUUAAAUCCUAGGCUCAUGACAGUGCCAGGGGAUAGAUUAUUAUGAAAUCUUUCGGGUCAGUCUUUAUUGUCAAAGGACAACACAUAUUUGUUGCUCUACUGAAAAGAUCAACGCCACAUCAUCUAGCAUGGGAACUGCUUCAUUGAACACCUUCAAAUAUUGCCUGUGUGCUGAUCCUCUCUACAAGUGUUUCUGCUGAGGAUAAGAACUUGUGGGUUCACCAAAAGCAACCAUGACUUACAGGAAUACUUCUUGGAAAUAUGUACUUCACAAUUAUUAUCAGCUUGUACUUUAGGGUCUCACAUUCAUAUACAAAUUCCAGAUCUGUCAUGUAUUACUUACUUAUUUACAUUCUGAGAAAUGCAGUCUUUCUUCUCCUAACUAGAUGGUAUGAGGUUUAUGAAAUAAAGUGUAGCACAGCCUCUAGUAUGUAGCAACCGAACACAUGAUAGUCGUUUUAGCACACUUAUAUUCUUCAAGCUUGGAGUAGUCAAUGGAAUGAAAAGGCAUGUCAAUCAAUAUUUCUGGAGAAACGAAUGAGAAGACGAAUAUUCCUUGGUUGUUGAACUACACCCAGACUCUCAAUGUCUUCUGGGAGUGAGGCAGGUCCUGGGAUCCCACAGCUUCCUAUGGAAGGCAUGUCAUUUUCAAAGACGUCUUACUUGACAUGUAAACAAUGCCCAGUAAACCUCUUGUGUUCUUUUUAUGGAAGCAGCUAGCAGCUAGGGGUUGUACAUGGUUUUUUUUUUUUUUUUCCCACUCAGUUAUAAAACUGUUUCAUGAUACUUUUCUUAGGUGUUCAGUCAAAUGGGGGUGCUCAAAAAGGAGAAAAUGAGACUGAAAGCUUUAGGAAAUCUAAAAUGAAGUUGAGUUAGCUUCAUUGAGUAUUCCUGAAGUAGUUAUACAAAAAAAAAAAGACCUAAAAAAAGUGUUUACUUCAUACAUAAACAUGUUUUUAAAUGUGUGGAAGACAUUAAAAGAAUAAAAAGGAACAAGCC